rnacentral:rRNA from 1 species
UUUAGCCUACGGGACGCAGCAGUGGGGAAUAUUGCACAAUGGGGGAAACCCUGAUGCAGCGACGCCGCGUGAGUGAAGAAGUAUCUCGGUAUGUAAAGCUCUAUCAGCAGGAAAGAUAAUGACGGUACCUGACUAAGAAGCCCCGGCUAACUACGUGCCAGCAGCCGCGGUAAUACGUAGGGGGCAAGCGUUAUCCGGAUUUACUGGGUGUAAAGGGAGCGUAGACGGUUACGCAAGUCUGGAGUGAAAGGCGGGGGCCCAACCCCCGGACUGCUUUGGAAACUGUAUAACUGGAGUGCAGGAGG